UGGCAAUGAGGACAACAAUCUUACAAUGAUUAUGUAUGAAUUACAUACCAUACGCUAUUCUGAGCUUUUA